rnacentral:RNase_MRP_RNA from 2 species
ACGCCGAACGAAGAAUCGCUAUCGCAGCCUACGCACAAAAGAGUCCCAAAUCUCUUUUACUUCAGCUGUGGGGAAAGUCCCCGGAGACACAGAGUUAACCCAAUCCUCGCCCAAAUCGUUCAGGAAAGCGACCUCCUCUAAGUUGGUUGGUACAUUGGGCGAGGAUGGCUCCAAAAUACGGACGAACACGAAUCCUCUCUGGUUCCGUUUGAUCUAUUGGCAGCCGGCUCUGUCGACCUUCCUAACUCUUAGUCAUCUCGCUAAGGCUGGGGAACGCGAAGAUAUGAGCGGACUCUUGUUUUGGGGUGUCUGGGUUGAGAGGGAGGUUGGUUCGUUGCUCAUAGAGAAAGUUAUGCGAUUGCAAAGUGUCUCCUUCUUGGAUGGCCUUUGUUAACACAAUGGGGCUUACUCUCGUUCGGUG